AGUCUGCCUGGAUGCUACUAGGCUACCUGCCAUGAUGAUAAUGAACUGAACCUCUAAAAUUAAACCCUGAUUACCUCUAGACCAAGAACGUCCACCUGCUGGACCUACUAGGGAACAUCCACAACAAAGGGGGCUAUAAGAGAAUGAAAGUCAGCAUCAUAGCUACUGUUUCCAGAGUCAACCAGUUCUGUCAGGAGCCUCGUACUACAAGGGUUGGACUUCGGAACAAUGUAGCAUAUGAUCAACUUGGGGAUAUAGAUUUUUCAUGAAUUCAAGAAGAAGAAGAAAACACCAUAAGGCCUGCAUGACCUAGGUUUGGAAAAAAGUACAUAAAGCAAAGUUGCUUUUGAGUUGCAUUGUAUGGUUUAUGAGAACAACUCUGGACUUAAUAACUGUGGUCUGAGUACAUCUGCGAGGAGAAGACAAUAAACAGAAUAUAAAUAUACC